AUGAUGACUUUGCCCAAUGGCAACACCUCUAGAUCUGUGUAAUAUUAUGCAAAUUAGUUUCUUAAAGUACAGGAAGUAAUGAUGAAGUUGAUCAAGAGAGGGCCUCAUCUUGAUAACGCAUUCUUCAUCACAUGACACACCUAGCCGCGCAAUUGGAAGACAAAAUGGACGACGUCAAAGUGUCUCUGUGUUUUACUCACCAACAAAUUCAAGUUUUUACUGACUGCCAAGGCUACAAUUGCCACAAAAGUGUGGAGGUCAACCAUUGUCAAAUGGAACCUACCUCUUCGUCAACAAAGGUCAUGAUGAUCGUCAGCCAAUGCAGCUCAGCAUCAAGAUUCGAGGAUAUCGUCUCCCAUCGACAGCCUGGGGAUUGUCAUCUUCCAAGGGGUCUGCUCGCCAAUCAAAUGUCUAUGACCUGGCAAUGUACAUGAGUCUGAGAACGGUUCUCUCCUUUGUAAAAGUUAACAUGACUUGAGAUCUACCAAUCCACAAAGAGAAUGUCUGUGCAGUGAACGUCAACCUGGCCGAAGACGUCAACCUGGCCGACGAGAUGUGCUAAUAACUAUGAAGGUGUCCCAUAUUCAGAUGACUACCUAUCGCAAGAUUCCUGAUGUUUGCAAAUGCCUAUCACUAGGCCAAUAACUUGCCACCACCAUCGUGAUAUGGGUUAGGCCUACAGCGGAGCAUGAGAAAACUACAUCUUAAAGGCUUUGCGGAGACCAGCACUCAUUGUCUUCAAGCAUCCUACACGUCUACAAGGAACAAUGAAUGAACAACCUAGCAGUUGGAUUUCAUUUGUAAGAUAGUAAAAUUAUUAAUGUCAUUUACAUCUUAAAUAUUAUCUACAUGAAUGUUUUUGUCACUAAACUAUAUGUGCACCAUUUGCAAGCAAGCAAUACUUUAAAGAUCUGAUGGCCAAAUGUGCUUUGAAAUAAUAAUAGUAAUAAUAAUAAUACUGUCUUUUUACAUAGCUCAUAUCUUGCAUAGCUCAUGUCACCCAGUGACACCCCUGGCGCAAGGUGUGUGGGACUACGUUUGAAUUAUGAGACCUUAUCCUUUUACAUAGCACCAUUUAAUGGUUUUAACUU